GCAGGAGUGCCGGAGCGGUCAAACGGAAUGGUCUCAAGAACCAUUGGCUUAGUGCCUACAAAGGUUCGAAUCCUUUCUCCUGCA
rnacentral:tRNA from 1 species